rnacentral:tRNA from 5 species
GCGAGUGUAGUUUAGUGGUAAAACCUCAGCCUUCCAAGCUGAUGAUGGGAGUUCGAUUCUCCUCACUCGCUCCA